AUCAUCUUUUUGUUGAUUCAUCUAAUGUGUCUCAAUUAAUUUGAAUAAAUUACUGCACUACACGAAUACUUUCUUCCGUAUUCUCUGAAGUGUCACUGGGUGUCAGUUGCUAGCGGAACAACCACGAAGUGGUUGGUUAAUUUUCUAGGUUCUUCUUCUUCAUCCCCUGUGAUAUUGAUUGAAUAACGUGUGCUAUAUUUGUCCUGGUGUACGUUCUAAUUUAUGUAUUAUAGUUUGAAACUGAGGAAAACCAAGGACCACGUGUUGGUGCAUAAAACUUUAGUGUCUAAUAAUAGUGAUUUCUUCGAAGCCACCUCAUCUGAAAAACUUCUGACGCCCUUAAUUAAGAUUAUGGAGGGAUUCAACGUAAUAUAAAUUGUGAGGAUGGCAAUGACAUAUCUGUUUAAUUGGAGGUUUAAAAAAAUAAUUUCUAGACGCGAUGCCAUAAUGCAGUUUUUGCAAUUUAUACAAGGUACGAGAUGGAUUAUUGAAGGUACCGAAUACCGAGAAAAGGCCCACCAAAUGUGGGAAUACCAUGUGUGGAGGUAUACGUUUACGAUGCUAGGUAGACCAUCUUCUGAGAAGGCUCACGAGAGGUAAAUGUGCCAAGGCGCUCUUAAAUAGACGGAGCACCCUGGCUCGAGAGCAGUUAGAAUUUGAUAUUUCCUGGUGAAUAGUCACGUGCAUCCUGGUAACUCAUUCACACUACUCCCCAACACUUUCCUUUCGCCCAGUGUUAGAGUGAUCCAUAUACAUC